UAUUAGAAACUAGAAAGAGUCUAGACAAUUACAUCCACAGUGCCCAUAAAAGACAGUUAAUAGCAUAAACAAUGUUUUUGUAUCCUAGCGGCGUACAAUGCAAUAUCCCGACCAUAGUAGCCAGAAUAUAAAGACCUAAUCGUGAAUGUUGAUCUUGCGCAACCCACUGCUGAUAUAAGAUUUUGUCAAACCAACUUACAAAAAAAAAAAAAAGAAGCAACUAACCUGCCUUUCGUCCUCGUGCAAAACAAAAAAUCCAGCAAAGUAACGAGAAAAUAAAAUGACCGGCACAAAAGUUCAAAUGACUUACUGGUUAAAUUUCCACUUUCCGCGGUACUGACAAUUGAAAUCAUCCCAAUGGAGUUUAUUAUCAAAAGCCAUGCGUAUUAUCGGCAUGACGAUUACGAAGCGAUUAUAUUAUAACCGCUUCAAUUUCAGUCGUGAAAGCCGAUAUGGACAUGGUACGGCAGCGAACGUAACGUUCCGUAGUAAUCGGGGUGAAAACAUCAUAAUAGGCUUAUUGUUAGCCGAAGGAACGAAUGGAGUGACACGAGGGUGGUAAAAGGUAGACAUGAAUACGUAUGAGAAUCCUUCCUUCCUUUUCUUAUGGCUGCAUCCCCAAUGGGGGACAUGUGCCAGUACGUAUGAGAAUAACCCAAGGAAGGUAAACGAAGCAUAGAAACGGACUGAUGGUUGACGGGUGGUAGGAAAGUUGCGAAGCUGGCAGUGAGUGGCGCCGCACUUGGCUGUUCGUUGAACUAUCGAUCCAUAGACGCAUUCACAUAGAGAAAAGCCAAGAGAGCCGUAGCCGCGCUAUGACCGUUUACGAAAGCUCGUUGCCAUUUAGCAUCGCUCCGACUGUGCCCGACGUUAUUAGCGCCUCUUACGGUAUAUUUCAGAAGCACUUCCAUGUAAACUACUCGGUCGUAGAAUGUUAAAAUCGAUGCCGCCAUUCUAUGGUCCGCUGUGAAUGGCGAACCACUGUGUCGGCGACAUAUAAACUCGAGUGAGUACUCCAGCCAUGCUCGUUUAAAAGUCGUGCACGUACGUUCCACCUAACUUGGCCUAAUGCACAGCUCUACUUCAGUAAGAGCCAGGACCGACUGGUAUGGGAAUAUCUACUUAUUCAUAGUACGUGACUAAAAGAUAAAUCCAAGAAUAAAUAGAUACGGUUAUGUCUGGCAGUAGAGAAUUAUUUAGUUGCUGCUGUUUAAAGUUAUGCCCGAGGUUAAUAAUACACCGUGACGGAUAUGUGCAUUGUUCUCUGAAUAUGGUUGAAAUUUAUACUGCAAAGUCUCGAGUGCAUAUUGACGGAGCAGAUGGAUCUACCACGCAAUGUACAUCUAAAGCUAGUUCACGUUCGAGAAAGAAUCUCAUGAAAAUCAACCGAAUCGUGGAUAUAAAGGGUAUCGUACGAAAUGGAUACAUUACACUUUUUCUUUGUAUUCCCAUUUGCGAAAUCGGAAUUCCCAACGUACAACUUAUGAAUGCUACAUACUUCGGAAGGUCACGUACGUCUUCACUCAGUCACGAGCUACAGGUGUAGGUUGCAAACGGCCGAAAGAAGGCAGAUUUGAGUGAAAUAAAAAUGAUGCUAAAAAUCCUUCAAAAAAAUAUAAAAAGUACCCAUCCUGUGCUCAACCUUCGUCCGAUCACGGAGUCAUGGACUGCGAAGUGCCUGUCGAUUCUCCAAAAAUUCGAAUGGUCAGGAUUUCACAACGCUCGGGACCUUCGGCUCGUUCUCUUAUAUCCUUUAACUCGCCACGAUGAGCGACGGCCGUUUGCGGAUGCGGCAUAAAGAUUAUUUCUUCCUCAAAAAUUCUCAAGUCUUGUCCAGUGACCAAUUUGAGGACGUCGGACUAUGCAUUACAGGUGGUUCACGUCGAGGUGGCUGAUGGCCAAGAAGACCGGGUUUGUAUUUGAACAAUGGCGGCGUGGAGGGCGUAAGCCACAACAAGUUGCCGUGUGACCUUAAUGGACUCUCGAUUGAACUCCUGUCGGGUAGGAUACGCGAUAGCCUACGGAGGGCGCUUACCCCCUCUGGGCUGUUCUCCACACCCUUCUAGUCACUCGGAACAUCCACCCACUCCCUUCCCUUAGACUAUAAUCGCUGGUUGUAAAGCUCACCCUUUCCGUACGAUUAUUCCAAUUGAAUCCACCCUUAAAACUGAACGAUCUCACGGCGUGCACCCUUAUGAUUAUUUUCAUCCCUCCCUCUAUCCUCGACCCUGCUAGCCCUUACUCCGCCACGAAAUUACCCCGUGUAGUUAAGCUUGACUGCCCCACUUGACUGGCUGCUUAAUCGAAGAAUUAUUUCGGGCGAAUCAGACGGAACCAGCAUGCUGCUGACUUUAAACCCAAAGACUCUCAGAUCUUCGGGGUCAAAUGAUUCACGAUCCUCGACCUCUCGACGAAUUCCUUAAGACUCGCGACAAAUUAUGUAAGCUUUAUGGAUCUCUUUCGAUUUUCAUCCCUUGUGCUAAAUCCUUAAAAAAACAAGAGCUACGUUAAAAUAUAAAAAUCGUGACCAAAUGAAAAAAUACACAAAAACUCAUAUAUAAAUCAUGAAAAAUCGAAAUUUCGAAAUAUGAAUAUACUCAAUUAUUCAUAUCAAAAUCGGUAUUUCCCUUUUCAAU